UGCCAAGGGGCAGGGCUCCACACUAAUCCCUCCCCCCUUCCCACCAGGAAGCCUCGUGGCUCAGCUCCGGCAACCUGCCCUCCCCGUUCCCGGCCAACCACGGCACCAAACAGCCGCCCUUCGAGGGCAGCCAGCCAGUGAAGAUCAAGAGGAGACCGAUCAUGCUGCACGCUGACCCCAGCAUCCUGGGCUAUUCGCUGCAUGGUCCGGCCGGCGAGGUGGAAAGCAUUGACGACUACUGAAGUCUUGUAGCAAUAGGAACUCUGCUGCCUUCUUAACCGAUUCAGUCUUACCUGAAUGUGCACUGCGAAAGGACGAGGCGGCCGUGCUGGGCCCUCCCCUUUCCUCCGCCCCCCCAGCGAGCAGGGGGCACCGGGGCUGGCGGGGGGGCAGGGUGACGCGCGCGCUCGGAUCAGGGGGCGCCGGCGACCCGCCUUCGGAAGAGGAGUAUGUGUGAGCACUUCUUUCUCCAACACACGAAGCACCUUAAAAUGCAACCCGCUGAUGCACUUUAUCAAGACUUUUUACAAAGAACUGAUUAAAAAAAAAAGAAAAAAAAGGUUUUUUUGGUGAUUCUGGAGGAAAUUUUUAUAAAGAAACUUUAAAAAAAAACAAAAAAAAUCGCUCUAGGAAACACUGUUAUUUUCACACGGGGACGAGGAGAGACGUGAAAAUUCGCGAAGGGGAAAAGAGAAGAUUUCAUAAAAAAACAAAAAAACACAAAAAUAGCAAAACUUGAAGAAAUGCACUUAUCGCCCAGCCCGCUUUCCGCGAGCUGGCCUGGUUCUGCCUCACGCGGUGGAGCCGGAUGUAAAUAUCGCUAGAUACAGAGCUCCGUUCUGGAGAUUUGCUCUCGCCAAGAGGCCAUGUCUGUUUUUCUCUUUUUUGGAAGAGACACGUUGCGUGUUGGUUUUUUUUGUUGUUGUUUUUGAAAGUUGCACAACCGCGAAACAACCGACUUCCCCUUCCCUGGUGGUGCCCGGCCGCAACGGAGCUGGCCUGGGAGGAGUAACGCUAACCACGGCGGUUGACUGCAGUCGCCGGAGCCGGGCGCUCUUCCCGCCGGUUCCUGCGAGCUCCGGCUACUCACCUGGCUUAGGGAGAGCUUCUAACCUGCAAAGCUCUCCUGGCUUCCUGCCAGUUCCUGUCCCACGGCCGAGCUCCCCCGUUACUGGCCGAUCAGACGCCUCGGAGCUCCCCCGUUACUGGCCGAUCAGACGCCUCGGAGCUCCCCCGUUACUGGCCGAUCAGACGCCUCGGAGCUCCCCCGUUACUGGCCGAUCAGACGUCUCGGGUGGCUUCCUGCAAGCUUCCAGGCCUUGCAAACUCCCUGCAACAAGCUCCGCCUCCCCGGCUGGAUUUCUUCUACAAGCUCCGCCUGCCUGGCUGGAUUUUCCCCCACAAGCUCCGCCCUGUGAAGCCAGCCUCCUGUGAAUUGUGUCGCUGCCCAGCUGAAAGGAAGAUGAUUUCUUCUGCACAUGUUUUUUUGGGGGGGAAGGGGGGGGUUGAGAGGCCCCUUUUUUAUUUUAAGCUCUCUGGGCAUCUCAUUCAUUUUGCCUUUCCCCCGCCUCGUUAGACGUGCGCCCCCAUCCCAAUGGCCCGUGUGGGGGGGCAGUUGGUUUUUGUUUUUGGACGGAGGAGCAUUUUUGUGCGUGCGGCAGGUGGGGGGGCUUGACCCCGCCCCGCACCCAUUUAUGAAUGUAUCUUUGGACAAGAAUUGGAAAGACGAAAUCCGCUGGCCCCUCCCGGCACCCCGGAUCCACGUCAAUAAAGCUCCAGUCAUGCUCUCUUGAGAGAUUUUUGACAAACCGAGACCCAGUUGACUUGUCUGUGACCGAUCCCCACCCGCAGAGGUGAGAGAUUUCACUCUCUGAUACAGCUGUACAGAUUUUGGAGGGGAGGGAGAAGUCGUUCGUUUGUUCAUUUUCGUUUUUUUAAAUUUGGGCUUGAAUAUUUUUUUUUAAUUGCGCGUAUGGAUCUGUUGUUUCUUUGUUUACAGACCGUCUCUGGGGCGUUGUCUCACGGGACGGUAGCCACUACACAGGGUACCUUUCCGAGUCGAAAUCUUCCCGAGGAGGAGACGUUUUUAUUUUACUUCUCCCCCCCCCCGGCAAGUUAUCCCAUUGGAAAUCAGUGGGCAGGAGGGGAGAAAGUUCUCCCGGCCUUCGCGCGAGAUGACAUGCAGCUUUUCCCCGGUUGUGGCAAGCCAGGAACUGCGCUGUGAAUGCCGCGUGGCAGGCGGCACGCCGAAUGGCCGAACUACAGUUUCUUGCGUGUGUUCUUCCUUCCCCCCCCCAAGUGUUUGUAUUUUUUUUUUUCAAACCAGUGCAGCUUUGGGGGUUAACCCCCCCCACCCGUUGGGUUUCCGUUUGUUUUUUAAACGUUCGUGGUUUAUGAAUUUUUCAAUCGACCAAAUGGCAAAGACACUUGUUUUGUUUUUAAGAUGUAUGUCAAAGGUUGGGGUUGUUUUUUGGGGUCAGGGACCUCUUUGGUUUUGGUAGGCCCUACAACAAAUACUGUGAGGUUCCAUGGUUACUGUGUUAGCGGGGAGAGGGGGGGGUCUUUCCUCCCUUCACCCGGUCAAUGGAUCAAAGGACACAGGAUUUGGAUGUGACCUGAUCCGGUUUUUCACCCCCCUCCCCCAUCAGUCAGUAUUGGCCUGUAGUGGCCUCCGCGCGGCCAGCGUGCAAUAGGCCGCCGAAGGAUUUACUCCCCACCCGUUUGCUGUGUCACGGAAACCCCACCCGCGGGCGAGGGUCCGGCGUCUCGGGCCAGCGAGGUUGCCGGGGAACCAAUGAGCUGACGGCUUCCUGCAUCUGGCUGGGAGCCCCCCCGCCCCCUUGGGAUUCUUGGCGCAGCGGGGGACAAUCCGGCGCCCCGGGAUCUGCAGCAGCCGGCUCACCUCAAUCCCGGGCUGCCCCCCUGGACUGGGCUCAGGUGGGGGGCGACCAGGAGCCACCGUUCGUGUUUGAAUUUGCCACAAGAAUGUAUUCGGUGAUUCGUCGCUCUCGGACCUUUCUAGCUAAGGGCUGUCUCCCCGGUUCGCUUCUCUCCCCCGCCAUCGACUGGGGCGGGGGGGGGCGUUUACACCCAGCCCCCCCCCAGAGUGAUCGGACUCUACAGGGGGCCGGGCCGAACCAAAGUCUCCUCUGGCCCACGGUGGAGCCCAGCCACUGGACAGACGUUUAUUAUCCACCGCGGGGGCGUUUCCUACAAAAUUUGCCUUAUCUUCGUAUUGGUUGUUUUCCCCCCUCCCACGCCCCUCCGAAGAAAAGGGAAACGGACCUCGCGGCCGGGGCAGUAUUAGCCUGGUGGCCGGCUAGCCGCCGGGCCGGACGUGGGGUUUCUAUCUAGCAAUAACGAACUGGACGCGGUGCGGCCCCAGCCCAUGCCAACGCGUGUCCCGCGCUGGACUCGGGCGCUUUCUCAUGCCGCCCAGCGGGGUCGAGCCAGGGCGAGGACCCCCCACCCCAUUUUGUGUGUGUGCGCGUCUCUCGCCCGCGUGGAAUUAAAGUUUGUAGAUAUUUCCUGCCCCCGCC